rnacentral:rRNA from 1 species
UACGUAGGGUGCGAGCGUUUGUCCGGAAUCAUUGGGCGUAAAGCGCGCGUAGGCGGCCAGAUAAGUCCGGUGUGAAAGUCACAGGCUCAACCUGUGAAUGCCGCUGGAAACUGUCUGGCUAGAGUCCGGAAGGGGCGAGUGGAAUUCCUGGUGUAGCGGUGAAAUGCGUAGAGAUCAGGAGGAACACCUGUGGUGUAGACAGCUUACUGAACGAUAACUGGACGGCUGAGGCACGAAAGCGUGGGUAGCAAACAGG